rnacentral:rRNA from 1 species
GACGAACGCUGGCGGCGUGCUUAACACAUGCAAGUCGAACGGUAAGGCCCUGCUUUUGUGGGGUGCUCGAGUGGCUAACGGGUGAGUAACACGUGAGUAACCUGCCCUUGACUUUGGUAUAACUUCAGGAAACUGGGGCUAAUACCGGAUAGGAGCUCCUGCUGCAUGGUGGGGGUUGGAAAGUUUCGGCGGUUGGGGAUGGACUCGCGGCUUAUCAGCUUGUUGGUGGGGUAGUGGCUUACCAAGGCUUUGACGGGUUGCCGGCCUGAGAGGGUGACCGGCAACACUGGGACUGAGAUACGGCCCAGAAUCCGGCGGGAGGCAGCAGUGGGGAAUAUUGCAAAAUGGGCGGAAGCCGGAUGCAGCAAAGCCGCGUGCGGGAUGACGGCCUUCGGGUUGUAAACCGCGUUCGCCUGUGACGAAGCGUGAGUGACGGUAAUGGGUAAAGAAGCACCGGCUAACUACGUG